rnacentral:tmRNA from 1 species
CUACUUCACAUUCAGGAUUGGCGCGCUAUAUCGGCGGUGUCGGGCAACCGAAUAUGGCGAUAAAUUGCUGCGUGCAAUAGAUGCAACGGACCCGGGGGCAGUACCCGGCGGCUCCACCAGAAACGGCGACUAUUCGCCAGUUCUGAUGGGG